rnacentral:rRNA from 1 species
GACGAACGCUGGCGGCAUGCCUAAUACAUGCAAGUCGAGCGGACUUGAUGAGAAGCUUGCUUCUCAGAUAGUUAGCGGCGGACGGGUGAGUAACACGUAGGCAACCUGCCCUCAAGCUUGGGACAACUACCGGAAACGGUAGCUAAUACCGAAUACUUGUUUUCUUCGCCUGAAGGAAACUGGAAAGACGGAGCAAUCUGUCACUUGGGGCUGGGCCUGCGGCGCAUUAGCUAGUUGGUGAGGUAACGGCUCACCAAGGCGAUGAUGCGUAGCCGACCUGAGAGGGUGAUCGGCCACACUGGGACUGAGACACGGCCCAGACUCCUACGGGAGGCAGCAGUAGGGAAUCUUCCGCAAUGGGCGAAAGCCUGACGGAGCAAUGCCGCGUGAGUGAUGAAGGUUUUCGGAUCGUAAAGCUCUGUUGCCAGGGAAGAACGCUUGGGAGAGUAACUGCUCCCAAGGUGACGGUACCUGAGAAGAAAGCCCCGGCUAACUACGUGCCAGCCGCCGCCGUAA